CACGUAGGGUGCGAGCGUUGUCCGGAAUUAUUGGGCGUAAAGAGCUCGUAGGCGGUGUGUCGCGUCGGCCGUGAAAACCUGCAGCUUAACUGUGGGCUUGCGGUCGAUACGGGAAUCACUGGAGUUCGGCAGGGGAGACUGGAAUUCCUGGUGUAGCGGUGAAAUGCGCAGAUAUCAGGAGGAACACCGGUGGCGAAGGCGGGUCUCUGGGCCGAUACUGACGCUGAGGAGCGAAAGCGUGGGGAGCGAACAGG
rnacentral:rRNA from 1 species